UACGUAGGGUGCAAGCGUUAUCCGGAAUUAUUGGGCGUAAAGAGCUCGUAGGCGGUUUGUCGCGUCUGCUGUGAAAACUGGAGGCUCAACCUCCAGCCUGCAGUGGGUACGGGCAAACUAGAGUGCGGUAGGGGGAGAUUGGAAUUCCUGGUGUAGCGGUGGAAUGCGCAGAUAUCAGGAGGAACACCGAUGGCGAAGGCAGAUCUCUGGGCAUUACCUGACGCUGAGGAGCGAAAGCAUGGGGAGCGAACAGG
rnacentral:rRNA from 1 species